UACGGGGGGAGCAAGCGUUGUUCGGAUUUACUGGGCGUAAAGGGCGCGUAGGCGGCCAGCACAAGUCAGUUGUGAAAUCUCCGAGCUUAACUCGGAAAGGUCAACUGAUACUGUGCGGCUAGAGUGCGGAAGGGGCAACUGGAAUUCUUGGUGUAGCGGUGAAAUGCGUAGAUAUCAAGAGGAACACCGAUGGCGAAGGCAGUGGUCUGGGCCGAUACUGACGCUGAGGAGCGAAAGCGUGGGGAGCGAACAGG
rnacentral:rRNA from 1 species